ACAACAAAGCCCCAGCAGGCGCCACUAGGGAAGCCCAGCUCCCCGCUGGAAGGACGCUCCGGACACUGCGAAUGAAUGACGACAACGCGGCUCACUUGGAGCGGGUCCGGGUUUGUGCGGACUCGGUACCACCGCGGGCUCCGCGCGCCGAGCUGAGCAGCUGUGGCUGGCUUCGGGGGAACCUUCGGGGGAAGCUCCUGGGGACCGUGUGCCAAGCACUGGGCCCGACGCCCAUCCCAGCAGGGAGGACGCCGCCAGCCUGCGUGGGUGCGUGUGUGCUGUUUGUGUUUAAGGUUGACGCUCUAUGGGAUAGCGCCACCCCUUUUCCCAGGAAAAGUGUUUCAAGGUUCCAGACCUGGAGCUCGGUUAGAGACCCGGGGUCGGAAGCCAACGCAGCCAAUGGUCGUCGAUGUUUUUGUUUCCUGCAUCCCCAGGGCAAGUCAUGCGCUAAACUUGUCACCGCUUGUGACCCCUCCCCCCUCUCCAUUCCAUUGUAAUUAAAGUGGCCUAGCUAAGUGCAUUACAUCACUUCUUUCCUUGACCUGUAGGGCGUGAGCAAUAGAGAAGUUGGAAGCGGCCCAAAAGCUUAGACCAACUAAUUCACACCACAGCUGUUCCUAUAUCGCAUUUGGGGCUUCGAAAACUGGGCAUGGCAGAAUUUUAAAAUUUAUCCACUCUUGGUAGAUGGAUUUUUUUUUUAAUCAGUGAAACCAGAAACACACAAACCAGGGCAGCUUUAUCCCUAGACAGUUUCAGUUUCCCCAAAUACUUCGAGCUUCCAGUGGUGAUCACAGCCCAUCUGCCUACAUAUCUGAUGACCAUUUUUUUUUCCUCCCGCCCAGGAGAUCUGGAGGAUAGUUCAGCCAAAAAAAAAAAAAAAAAAAAAAAAAAAAAAGUUCCUCUUCCCAAAUGAUGGGAAUUUAGCAGACUCUGCUUUGUUGUGGAUGCUGGGCAAUCCUAGGGACUUUUCCCUUUCCAAAUGAGCAGAGAUUCAAAUGAAACCUUCUUGUGUGGGCUUCAAAAUUGUGACUUUUGUAGCUCCGACUUGAAUUGUUGAAUUCCUUCAAUUAGUCGAAUGAGCAAAUCACCAGCCAUUCUAAUGAGACUGCCAUUUCAUCUGUUCGCUUCCUACCGCUUGGGCUCUCAAGGAAUGGAAGUUUCCCUUGAUGUUACCACACAGACUGAUCUGCUUCUUCCAGGCAUCAGUGGAAACCUCAUGUAUUUAACACAGACUCAAAAAACUCAUUUGGCACUUUUGGUCACAGUGCAGUGCCUUCAGUCACAAAAUCUGCAAAUAAAAAGCAAACAAUAAGAUUAUAAGUCAUACAUAUGCAAAAAUUAUAUUAAUAUAUCAUGUAACUUUUAUAUUUUUGAAGUGUUUCCAUAGGUAUUCUUUUACUUGAUAUAAUUGGUAUUUUUAAAAACUCUAAGUGCCUUAAUACCAUGUUGGGGUUUGGAAAAUGAUACCACAAAGCAUGGUGCUUUGGCAUGCUGAGUACUUUGAACUAAAGGAGAUUGAAAGGCCUCAGAAGCAGUUUCUCUCUGACCUCCUUCUGCCCUCCUGUCUCCCACCUCUCUUUCUCCCCCAAAGUGAGUCAUGGAAACUAAAGGCAGGUCAUAGAAACUAAAACCCCUCUUCCCAAAGGAAGCUACAAAACCUAGAAAUAUUACCAUUCCUCACUCUUCUGUGUAAGAGCAGACAUAAAGAAUAGAGAAAUAAAGAAAUUAUCUACCCUACCUUGUUGGAUAGUAGGUCCCCUUUCCAAAGGAGUCCUGCUCUAAACCCAGGAGGAGGGAAAGCUAUACGGAGAGGCCAAGAAGAAUCUGAACAGACAGACUGGGUCUGUUCUCAGUCUAUUACCAUUGGAUCUUACCCUUUUGUCCAACCACAUCUACAUGGCUGCCCACUCUUCAUUGAACCUAAGCACAAAAAUGGACAGAGCGAGACUCUCUCAAAAAAAUAAACAGGCUGGGCAUGGUGGCUCAUGCCUGCAACCCCAGCAUUUUGGUAGGCAGAGCCAGGAGGACCCCAUCUGUAUUAAACCAGAGAGACCCCAUCUCUAUUAAAAAAAAAUAGACAGGUUUCCCUGGGUUUUUCCGUCUUCAUUUCUGAAGGUUCCCAUGUCACCUAAAACUUUGAUUAAAC
rnacentral:lncRNA from 1 species